ACGUUCACGUCAUAAUUUCGCACCCGCCAUCUUAGUUGAAGUUUAUUGAGGACGGUACAACAAUGUCAUUUCGCAGCAACAAAUGGAACUGUAUCAUCGAUCUGACCUCGGUUGCGCAAGGGCGAAUAUGAGCCACAAGAAUUCCGGCAGAUACAAACAGAAGUGAUGGAUUUAUUGAGGAUUACAUCAAAUAAUCCAGGAGCUGUAAAUCAGUAAGUGCAUCUGUUAAAAAACUAUUGUCUAUAUACUUGUUGGUGACGUUUUGGCUUUUUAUUGCAAAAAUUGGAUUUGUACCUGCACUCAGCCUCUGACCAACAAGAGUGGUGGGGUAGUGGUUGCUAUUCAGUGUGAUUUGAUACUAUUACCAAAUUAGGCAUUCAAGGAUUUCCAUUAUUUUCCAUUGUGUGCUGGUGUCCAUCAAACACUUGCAUAUACAUAGGUGCUGGAAGACUUCAUUAACUGAUUAUUGUCUCUUGAUUUGACUUAAUACACUUACUAUACAUUUGUUUUCUUUAUUUCAGAAAAAUGGAUAAAGUCGAAACCAAAGAAGAAGAUUCUGAAAUAAUCUCGAAAAGUGUACGCGUUUUCUGAAAGAAAUUAAUAAAGAGUGUUGAUUACA